rnacentral:rRNA from 1 species
CCUACGGGUGACAGCAGUGGGGAAUAUUGGGCAAUGGGCGCAAGCCUGACCCAGCAACGCCGCGUGAAGGAAGAAGGCUUUCGGGUUGUAAACUUCUUUUCUCAGGGACGAAGCAAGUGACGGUACCUGAGGAAUAAGCCACGGCUAACUACGUGCCAGCAGCCGCGGUAAUACGUAGGUGGCAAGCGUUAUCCGGAUUUACUGGGUGUAAAGGGCGUGUAGGCGGGACUGCAAGUCAGAAGUGAAAACCAAGAGCUCAACCUGUGGACUGCAUUUGAAACUGUAGUUCUUGAGGACUGGAGAGGAAGACAGAAUUCCUAGUGUAGCGGUGAAAUGCGUAGAUAUUAGGAGGAACACCAGUGGCGAAGGCGGUAUGCUGGACAGAAACUGACGCUGAGGCGCGAAAGCGUGGGGAGCAAACAGGAUUAGAUACCCUAGUAGUC